rnacentral:rRNA from 2 species
UACCUUGAGCUACGGGAUAACAGAGAGAAAUUUCUGCUAAUACCGUAUGUGGCCUUUGGGCGAAAGAUUUAUCGGCUUAAGAUGAGCCCGCGUUGGAUUAGCUGGUUGGUGGGGUAAAGGCCUACCAAGGCGACGAUCCAUAGCUGGUCUGAGAGGAUGAUCAGCCACACUGGGACUGAGAUACGGUCCAGACUCCUACGGGAGGCAGCAGUGGGGAAUAUUGGACAAUGGGCGAAAGCCUGAUCCAGCCAUGCCGCAUGAGUGAAGAAGGCCUUCGGGUUGUAAAGCUCUUUUAGUGAGGAAGAUAAUGACGGUACUCACAGAAGAAGUCCUGGCUAACUCCGUGCCAGCAGCCGCGGUAAUACGGAGAGGGCUAGCGUUAUUCGGAAUCAUUGGGCGUAAAGGGCGCGUAGGCGGGUUAGUAAGUUAAAAGUGAAAUCCCAAGGCUCAACCUUGGAACUGCUUUUAAAACUGCUAGUCUAGAGAUUGAAAGAGGAUAGAGGAAUUCCUAGUGUAGAGAUGAAAUUCGUAAAUAUUAGGAGGUACACCAGUGGCGAANGCGUCUAUCUGGUUCAAAUCUGACGCUGAGGCGCGAANGCGUGGGGAGCAAACAGGAUUAGAUACCCUGGNU